AAAAAUCUUUUCUAAUUGUAAGAAUUCCUGGUUCUAUAAAGUUACAUUUUCUCCUUAGAUUAUAACCCUCUUCAUGAUUUUUGAGCAAUUGUUGAAUAUUCCCUGGUAAUAGAUUAUUUGUUGCUUUGAACAUUAUUUGUGCUCUUUGGUAUUUUGCACAAUGUCAGUAAGCUUGAGUAUCUG